GCCGGGUGUGGUGGCUCACACCUGUAAUCCCAGCACUUGGGAGGCUGAGGUGAGGGGAUCACCUGAGGUCAGUAGUUUGAGAUCAACCUGGCCAAUAUGGUGAAACCCCAUCUCUA
ensembl:misc_RNA Metazoa_SRP Metazoan signal recognition particle RNA